rnacentral:lncRNA from 1 species
UUCACAUAUUAAAUUUUUAAAACUCCUUGAAACCACCACGAUCAGUUAAUUUGUUUUUCUUCCUUUCCCCGCCCCAUUUAACAGUAGAGGAAUUGUUGCAGAAUGGAUGUUCACACAGAUGGCGCUAUUUUACCAGGAAGAUGUAGUCCAUAAAAGACUCAGGCCAAUGUUCUGCACAGUGCAGGUGGAGCUGAGAUGCCCUGUAUAAUGAGAAUAGAAUGACCGAGAAAGCCAGGCAUGCAGCAGGAGCCUGUAUAGCCCCAGCAAUUGGAAGUGGAGCGAAAAAAUAAGAUACAAUUU